rnacentral:rRNA from 1 species
CUGCGGUCAUUUGGCUGUUAGGCAAUGUGGUGUUAAGAUUGGUUUUUGGCAUUUCUGCUUCAUCCUAAGUCCAUCAAUGAGUACGGCUAAUGGACCGGCCCAAAGAGGGUGAAAGGCCCGUGUGGAUGAAGAUCAAGUGGGACAGAAGUGCUUUGAACUGAUCUUGGAGUCGGGUUGUUUGUGAAUGCAGCCCAAAGUGGGUGGUAGACUCCAUCCAAGGCUAAAUACUGGCACGAAUCCGAUAGCAAACAAGUACCGUGAGGGAAAGUUGAAAAGUACUUUGAAGAGAGAGUAAACAGUGCGUGAAACCGCUCAGAGGUAAACGGGUGGAGUUGAACUGGAAUCCCUGGGGAUUUAACUGAUGAGUAUGGCAUGCGCUUGGGCAUGUUGGCCAGCAUCGAGGGUUUGCUUAAUUGCAGGCCUUGGCUCUUCGGAGUUUGGGUACACGUUGCACUUGUCAGGUGUUGUGUGCUUUGGUUGCAUUGGGCUUGCUUGUCAGUGCAUUUUCUCGGGGUGAUCACCACGACCGGCGUUGUUGUCUGUUUGCUGCAGUUAAACCGAUCAGAUUUGGUCAUGUUGGCUGGGUCUGGUCGGGACGGCAGGUAGCUUGUUUAUUCAUUCGGGUUUGC